UGAAGGAGUCAUCGGAACUGGCGGCACUUGAAGCAUCCAAAGGAUUCGAGAGACGAUAAUGUUCCCUGUUUCAAAUCUUUUUGAGGUGCUCAGUUUUUCUGUCGACAAGGUGGUUGUGGCGUUUGAUUUAUAUGGUUAGGGUUUUCCAGAAUUGGGCUGACGGGAGAUCCGGGCACUCCAAAUAAGUGAGACAGGCAAGAGUGAGCUACUUCCGUACCAGCUUGAAGGAUUGAAUUUCUUACGUUUCUCAUGGUCUAAAGUCUAAACAAACACAUGUGAUACUUGCAGACGAAAUGGGUCUUGGGAAACGAUACAAAGUAUUGCUUUUUUGGCAUCGUUGUCUAAAGAGAAUGUCUCCCCUCAUUUAGUAGCACCGCUUUCUACAUUAAGGAAUUGGGAACAUUAAUUUGCUAUAUGGGCUGCUAAUAUGAAUGUUUCGCAUCUUCUCCACACGAAGAAGAAACAACCUUCACUUUCAGACGUUAUUGCGGUAAUUAUAUUCCAGUUUUCUCUUAUUACUUCAUAUUGC